UUUUUUUCUUGUUCAGAUUCAGAACCAAUUGACAGGGAUGCAGGAGUAAAAUAGAUGGUUCUGGAAACCUCAGUUUCUUACUGACAGAAGUUAGACUGGAUAAAAACGGCUUAAAGGCAGAGCUAAAUAGGCUUGUACUGGCAGAGGAGGAGUGUAGCAGAUGUCCCUCUGCAUAGGUCUUCUCAAUGCAACUUGGGGCACCAAGGAGCAUGGGAUGUCUGCAUCCUGCUCCUAAAGAGGACAGAGGGAGGAGUGUACCAAGGAUACUCAGUUAUUUCUCCCAGGCUCAACAGUUAGUUCCAUCCUGAGGAGUGAGUGAGAGGUGGAGAGUGGCUAGAAAUGUUUAAUCUAGCCAAAGUCCUCCCCA
rnacentral:lncRNA from 1 species